ensembl:lncRNA
GUAGAAUGGAUGCAUUAUGACUUCAAAGUCUAGGCAAUAAAAAGAACACAGCUUCUGCCUGGUUCGCUCUUUGGGAGAUGCUCACUCUGGGGAAGCCAAGCAUCACGUUGCGAGGAAGACCCGACAGUCCCAUGCACAGAGACUACUUGAGAGGCCCUCAUGGAUAGGAAGGAACAUGCCUAGUGGACAGCCAGCACCACCACUGGGCACAUGUGAACGAGCCUUCAGGUGAUUCUGGCCUCCAAGCGUCAAGCCUCCGCUGACACCAAAGGGAGCAGAGGGGAGCCAUCCACACUAAACCCAGAGCAAAACGCAGAUUCGUGGGCAAGAUCACUGUGGUUGCUGUUGUUUUAAAUCACUCAGUUCUUUAGGAAUGGAACAAGCCCUCUUCAGCCGUGGCCACCCCUUCUGUCCAUGCAUCUAACCACCAUCUUCACCACCCUUGUCUGAUCACUGAUGGUUUCGUCUCCUCCACUAGAAGCAAGGAAUCUCAUCUCAAUACCCCCAAGUCUCACAUGGAACAGAAAGGGGCCUCCAUAAAUGAUCGUCCUCAAUAAUGAGGGCCAAAGAGAGCCAAGGAAAUGAAGAUAGUGUUGGAUCUAUCAUCACAAGACUCAGGUUUCUGGGGCUCAGGGACCUGCUACUGGCUGAUCAAUAUCUCCAACCACCCCACGUGUAGCCGGCAGUUCCUGCUUUCUGUGAGAGCUACGAGUGCUUUUGUGGUGACUGAUAAGCUCUUGCUCCACUCAGGCCCAAGGACUUGAUCAGACAGCAGUGUGAGGCAUUCAGAAGGAAGCUUACGUGAUAACGGCCACAACAAUGAGGAGACACUUGGAGUUUGAUGACAAAGAGGAAGCAUCAGCCGCUGUGAGCUGGUCAGCCUUCCUAGGGACAUGUAGCCACUGCCACUCCUGGUGGCUUUUCUUCUGUCCUACAGGGGAGAGACUCCAGAGAAAAGAAAAAGCUGCGGGGGGUUUCCUUGUGUGUGAGGACUUUGUGCUGCCAGCCGAUCGCUGCUGAGGAAGGUGAGGAACAGCUGUGGCCCCACCCUUCUGGCGACACUUCACAGAGAACUGCCCACUCAGUGAGCCAACUAGGAAGACUGAAGAGCCCUUCAGAGGACAGGGAAGCUUUGGGGAGAGAGGAACAGGUCAGCUCAAGGGGCCUGUGGAAGAGACGGGCUGGUCAAAGCUGCAUCGGGAGGAGGCUGAGGUCGUGCUCCAUGCCCAGAGUGCACAGGGGAGAAAUUCACGGUUUUGCUUAGACACAGGCAAGGUCUGCAUCUGACUGAGCACCGGGGAUCUGCUCCAGGAACCACUACCCAGCAUGGAACACCAAGAAGCAGAGGACACGGGGAUGCUCAGCCCCAGGGCCCCACCCCUGUAAUUCCUCCCCGCUCUAGUCCUGCCGUGUCCCAAGCCUUCGUGCCUCCUUCAUGGCUCCUGGGGUGCAUCUCCUGUGACUGCACGUCCCACUCUGCUCUGUGCAGCUUAACCCACUUCUCCCUGAGGCUCCACAACAUCCAGGAGCAGGAAAGGACCCAGCAGGUCAUCCCUGUGAGAAGAGCCAUCCCCCACCCAGACUACAAGCCUAGGAAUUUCUCCAAGGACAUUGUGUCACUAAGGGUAGGGCACAUUGCUCCGCUGGUUCUUGCACACUUUAAUCCUAAGGUUUUGCAUCCCCCACGACCUCAUUCCUGUCCCUCCUUCCCAGUAUGACCCUUUCACUUGUCUCAGGGCUGUGGAGAAGGCAACUCCAUGACAGUUCCUGGAGUCUUUGUGAAUUCCUUUCCUCUGCCCUGAGCUUGAAGAGGAUGGCCAACCUGACUGCCUCUGUGAGCCCCCUCAGGCUGCCCAGGAAGAGAUUGCUGGCAAAGCUAGGGAUGGUGUACAGUUUGGCUGACUGGGAGCGCCUUGGUGGGAACACUCCCUCCGCCAUAAAACUGUGGGAAGUAGAGCUUGAUAUCCAAAGGGAUGAGUAACGCAUCUCUCACUACAAAGACCAUUACAACACCGUCACCCAGAUAUGUGUAGGGGACCCAACAAAGAGUAAGACUCUUUUUAAGGUGAGAUCCCCAGCACUGUCCACGCCCAGCCUGGGGAACAGCCAAGCUUGAGGAGAUCUGGGGCAGAGGGAACUAGCUAUAUCCUUGUGUACUCAGCCUUGUCACCAAGUCAGUCUGGUGUCCUGUCACCCUGCAGGGAUAGGAGACUCUACCACAGCCACUUAUUGUCAAAGUCUUCCUGGGGGAGGAGAAGAAGGGAAUUGUCAGGGCCAGGCUGGGGUCCCAGAAGCAAAGAGGGGCACAAAGGCUGUCCUGAGACACAUCUUACUCACAGCCCCCAAGCAGAGACUGCUUAACCUCAGGGCAUAAGGGAGAGGAGGAGCAGGAGAAGGCCCAGCCCAGCCCCUCCUCCCCUGCCCACUGGGGGAGUCCAGUGGCUCCCUUGUGUGAAACAUGGUGGCUCAGGACAUUGUCUCCUUUGGAAAAAAUAAGGGGAAACUGUCACCUGUCCACCCCAGGACCUCGAGCUUUCUACCUCGGGGAAAAACUACCUCCGGGAUUGAUCCAUCCAUCUUCUCUGGGACAGAAGCCAGCAAUGCACUGGGUAGAGGAGCAUGGAAGGGAGGCUGCCAGGGACUCACUAACCUUCCAUCUUUAGAGUGGAAAUCAUUAAUUCUUUCUUUAUUCACCAAAAUGUCCUAGGGCCUAUAGUGUAUUGAGUAAAUUUGUCAACAAUCUCUGAAUCUUGUAUAUAAGAAUGGAUUGAGAAAAGUAAACUCAUUUUUAAAAUAUCCGCCUUAGAGAAGGCUGGACUAGAAA